GGUCCUGGCCGGACUGCGUCGCGUUCGGGGGCCGCGCCGGGUAUCGUUUCUUUCUAGUGCCCGAGGCAGCUCUGGCUCGGAGAGUGGUUUGUCAGCUCCACGGGGACCUCUGUGCACGGAUGGACCCGCCCGGACCCGGCGGGAAGCGGCCUGGCAGGCGGCGGCCCCGGCGGCGUCAGCAGAGGCAGGACAGGGCCGAGGUCGCGGGUCCCUGAGGCGCGCGGGCUCAGCGGGCCCGGCGGCGGCACCAUGAUGCCGGGCGAGACCCACUCGGCGGCGCCCGGGACGGCGGCGGACCUCUCACGCUGUCAGGGCUGCGCUUCCCUGCAGCAGAAUUUAAAUGAAUAUGUUGAAGCAUUAAUUACCCUGAAGCAAAAAAUUAUUAAUACAGAUAAUUUGUUGACAGAAUAUCAGAAGAAAUUUUUACAGCUGCAGUUUGCAAGAAGAGAGAAUAUUACUCUGCAUCACCAAGUGGAACAGAUGCUUCAAAAAAUUUCUCCUCUGCAGAAGUGUCAGGAAGAACUGGGAUCUUUAAAAGCAGAGUUAGAAGAGAAAAAGAGUUCUCUGAAGUUGUAUCAGGAUACUCAUCAGGAAUAUGCUCGUGUGAAAGAAGAAUGCUUGAAAACUGAUGCUCAGAAGAAGAAACUAGAAGCCAAGGUGAAGAAGCUGGAAGAGGCUGCUGUCAAGCAAACUCAGGACUUCAAGCAACUAAGGAAUGAAAAGAAAAUACUUGAAAAGGAAUUUAGGAAGACACAGGAAAAGCUUGAUGAAUUUUCUAAACAGAAAAAUGAAAAGGAGUUGAGACAUAUUGGAACACAAAUUUCAAGUGAUUCUUAUGGAAGCAUCGAUAAAAGAAAAGUAAAACUACUUCUGAAGGAACUCUGGCUCUGUAUAAACACAACACACAGACUACCUGGUGAAGGCAGCAGAUGUGUCCCAGAAAAACCUGCCAAAGAAAACCCCAGAUACUUAGAGUCCAGGGAGGAUGGUGUGCCCCCUCCAGCAGGGGGUAGCCCUCUCAGGACCUCAGCUGUGCAGACGUGCCUGGCAGAGCUGUCCAUGGAGAUAGAGGGCGACUUCUCUGCGUGUGAAGACGCGGGGAGAGAGAGGCCGGGUGGAGCAGCUUGCCGUGACAAUGGUGUCUUUAAAGAGGACCGGAAUCCUGAGGCUGUAACGCAGAGGAAUGAGGAUGACCGUGCUGACUUUUCUGAUCAUGAUCAUUCUUUUGAUGAAGAUCUUCAGGCUGCCGUCGACUUCUUCAAGCUGCCCCCUCCUCUUCUGUCCCCGGUGCCCUCACCCCCUCUGCUGUCGUCCCCACACCUGGGUGCAUUUCCGUCCUCACUCUCACCUGAAAUCUACUUUGGAGAGUGUACAGAUUCCAGUGAUCAUGAUUCAGCCCGACAUAGGAAUUCUGAGCCUGUUUCAGAAGAUGAUACACCAGAAUUGCUGGAUUGUUUUAGCUCAUCUGGAAAAAGUAAAGGAACUGGAACAUGGGAGGAAAAGCUCCAACCACACGAAGCCACCCAAGCUCUAAAUACAUUGGAAGUCAGUGAGGUGACAGCGGUUGGGUUUGGGACAUUUACAGCAAACCUGAGAGAACCUGCAGCCACGUUCCCCUCCGCUCAUGAGAAACACUGGACGGUGUCAUCUGAGUUCGUGAGCAGGGGAGAAAGAGGCAUUUUGGAUGAGGCAGGAAGACAGAGAGAGGCUUGGGAGAUGGAUGGGUCAGUGCAGACGGAGAAGACACGUCCUGAACCCACGGGCAGCGGGCGUGUUGAGCAGCUCUCGAGCGGCCUGGCUGUAGAGGAGGGCACGGCUCUUGGGACGUCAGACUUGUGUCAUCCUCCCCUGGGCCCGUGGCCAUCGAAUGAGCCCAGCGCACCUGAAGGAAAAACCCUAGUGUCCAGAGUGAUAGGAUCACCUAAAUUAGAGGUGACCAAGUGGACACUGACUGAUGGAGUCAGUUCAGCAUCAGGUCGUCUGUCCACUUCUGGUCAUUUUCAGGGACUGUCUGGAGAAUUGGAGAAGGAAAGAGAAGCAAUGCGAGGGUUCAUUUCGGGAGACCCUUCUGCCCCAGGAGCAGCAGGGGCCGCGCUGGUUGCCGCGGUGCUCGGUCUGGGAGAGGAGUUGUCUUCCCCCGUGGCCUCAUCUCUCUGCGGUCACCCCCGGACUCCCUCUGGGUUGGAGGAUGACGCUGAAACAUCUGUUCCUACUGAAGUAGGCCCUCCCGAACUGGAUCGUUUGGAGCAGAAAUCACAAGCUGCCAUGUUCACCACGCUAGAUGUACAUUCUGAGCCCCCGGAGUGUCCCAUAGGAGAAGGCCAUCUGGAGAACAGCUUACAUGCUCUGAGCCCAGUGUCGGGGGCAUCUGAUUCUAAUGGUCAGAGGGGCAGCGAGGUGGGGUGUACGACCCUUGUGAAGGGCAUGAACGAUAUCUGCUCACUCCUGCAGUCAGGAUUCUCGGGAGCCGCCAGAGGCGGGCCAGGUGAAAGGCAAGGUCCGAGGGUCGAGCUCACGCCGAGUCAGUCAGGUUUCACAUCGUCGGCAGGGCCUCAGUCUGGCUUGAUCAGGAGUGGCUUUGGCUUUGGUGAAAGCACUUUGUGGCACCACAGUGAUCUGUUACAGCGAAGUGGUGAAGAAAGGCUGGGACCUCAACCUGAACGUGAACAAGAGGCGGCGGCGUCCUCAGAAAGCAGAGGAUCAGCACCCAAGCCUGAACGUGCUGGAGAGGAUAACAGUCCUGCAGGAUUCAGGGCGCCUGCGUCCUUGUUGCCUAACCAGGUGUCAGUUAUCACCAAGCAGGCACGGCCUGAAACCGUGCAGGGCGCACGAUGGGAACCCUCGAGACUGUCUAGGAGGGAGUCCCCCUUAGUGACAGACGUUGAUAAUGGGGCUGGUCGGACACCAUCUGGAGCAAGAUGUGGGGAGAGAGCGCCCACAGCACCGAGAAGCAGGGAGGCAGCUGCUACAGAGAACGCUGCCCUGGGAGUUUCCUCCUCCUGGAGAAAAUCAGACUUUGAUUCUCCAGGGGGUUCUUUACCAGUAGAAAGUUCCCAUUAUCCCACAGAUAGUACAUUAUCUUUCUCUUCUGACAACAUCCUGGUCCCAAACCAAGACGUUGUGACGGAAGCCACAGUGCAGGAAGAGGUGCAGAAGCAGAGCCCGUGUCUUCCUGCCACAAAUGUGGACACGUCCAGGCUGGAUGUGGAUAAACUUCCAGCCACGGAGGUGACGCUGUCAAAAGGUUUUCCUGUUGGAGACACAGUCAGAGCCUCUGGGGAGGCUCUGGCCGUUACAAUGGACCCGUCUGUUGUCCAGCACGGCCCAAAGGAGCAUCCGCAGCUGCCGUCUCACACUCCCGGGGGUGCUUCUCCUGAAGCUCUAGACACCACAGAGACUGCUUUUUCACCAGCGUUUGGCAGCAAAGAUGAGGAGAAACGUGUUGUCCCGCAGAGCAGCCUCACUGGUGCCCUGUACUGUUACACGGGCAUCCGCGAGGCAGGCGGAGGUGACACUGAGGUAGAAGAGGGUGACGCACCAAGCUGCAGUGAGGGAGAGAACGAUCCCGAAGCCGGGCUGGAGGGCGGCCAGCAGAGUGCUGGUGGGGCCUCCGGACGAGGCGUGGGGGCUGCCAGCGCCGGUGCGGCCGAGACCAGACCUUCCGUCGAGGUGGGGUGCCUGACCUCGGCUCUGCGGGACUGUAGCCUCAGUGCGCUCUCCGAGACAGACGGACUUUCCACGUCCGAGGUCGUGAUGUUUCUUGAAAGUUGUCAGUUAAGAGAUUAUAGUUCAGGGGACUCUGUUUCAGAAUGUUCUAACAAAGGAGCCCUAAAUAAAGGGAUGAACAAGGAAUUAAAGCAAAGUGAACCGUCAGGAGAAAAGUACAGAAAGCAACUGUGUGAAGAGGAAACACUAGAAACCUCUGAGGAGUGCGUCGGCUCCUCGGAGGAAGACGACUGUCUUUUAAGGGACAUGAGGCGGCGGCUUGCUCAGCACUCCCUGGAGAUGCUGCCUGAGGUGCUCACCAGGAUCCACCAGGAGCUGCAGCCCGACCGGGAGGACGCUGGUGGGAAGGAUGUUGGUGAGUUACAGCUCUUAAAUGCACCUGACAGCGUCACAGCGGAGCAUGAGAAAGAGCAAGUUCUGCCUCUGGAAACAGCCGGCUCCUCUUCACCCCUGCCGACAGCCGGCUCGGACACUCGGGGCAGUUCUCCCACUAGUGGUGGACCUGGCCAUGAAAACACGCAGAGCAGAUCUGCGGGUAACUUGGAUGCGAUCAGGCCAGUGGAUGGUAAGGAAGAGGCCUCGUCAGAACCCCCGGAGCCCUUGCCCCUGUGCGCUGCCCCGGGAGUGGGGCCGGGGGAAGUGGCGUUUCAGUGUCAGAUCUCUACAGUGACUUCCGAGGUUAUAAACGUGCUGAUAAAUAAGGAUCAGAAUCUAGUCAUUGAGAAAGGGGACAACUGGACCAUCAUCAAUGGGGUAGCUCUCAUGCCAGAAGUGGACCAGGUUAUCCUGUGUGACGCCCCUGAAGAUGCCCCUGUUUCCCCGGAUCCAGAAGGGCUGGCAGCUGGUUUCAUUCCACUUCCUUCCGUGGAGAAGUCCCCAGAGACCGGUCGCCCCGGCCCUCCUUCUCAGGAGCCCCAGUGUGGCAGUAGUGUGGCCGGAACCCAGGGCGAUAUUUCAAGCAGCGGUCAGAGUACUAACUUUGAUAAAAGUCGUUUGCGGAAUAGACCCGUUAAGCCCAGUGUGAGGAUUAGCUCUGAGAUUUAUGAUCAGAACUUUGAGACUCAGACGGUUCCUUCUGAUCACACGUACUAUAAUUCGAAACUAGAGCCGCUGAGCAAAAAUAAGAAUCGAUCAAAGAUUUCAAACAGAGAUCAGACAAACAAACCAGUGAAGAUGUUAGCGUCGAGCAGAAUGGAGACUACUCAGAAUGAAGUUUCUCCGUCAUUUUCUGGAGAAAAAGGGAACGGAAAAACUCAGAGAAGUCAGACACAGACCAUCCUAGCCAGCGCCGACACGUCCACUCCUGCGGACUGCUGUGCGGACACGCUAAGUAAGAUCCGGCAGGAGGUGGGACCCCCCCUGCCCCCGUUGCUGGCUCCUCUGAUAGCCACGCCUCCGAGGACUUCACAGCCAGCCUCUCCACUGACGUCAAGUUCCAGCCCCUGCUCACCCGUCUCUCCCCACGGCCCGAUCUCUCCGCCGUGUGAGAUCCCGGUGUCGCCUAUGGUGUCCCCCUUGCUGGAGGAGCCGGGGCACUCCUCUCCUCCACAUGCAUCCCCGUCCACCGCCCCGGCCAAUGACAGGGUCUUGUCAUCUCCUUUGCAGUUUUGUGCUGCGACCCCAAAGCACGCCGUCCCCGUGCCCGGCCGCCUGCCCCCGUUCGCCUCUGCCCAUCCGGCAGUGGCAGCGCCCCAGGAGAAUUCCGUGAAGAUCCUGGACACCAUGUACCCAGAGCUGUCCGCCAGGGCCCGCACCCUCAGCAUCCUCAAAGGGAACAUUCAGCUUACGCGAGGCCCGCCGGCCGACUCCAAGAACCUACCGGGGCCCGCCAGCGCCAUCAGGGGCUUCAAAGCCAUCACUUCAAGCUCAACCGCCUUUGUGAAAGCAGGGGGCAGCUCUGGUGGUGACUGUACGCAGGAUAAGUCGAGAGAUCCGGAGCCUCCGCAGUGUUCAGGUGGGAAAAGGGCACUGUCAGCGGGCACACCGAGGAGUGCUAAGAGGUUGCGCCUGGACAGCGGGUCCCCGGAGCCAGAGCCCCCCUCAGAGGGUGUCAGCAGGAGCCCCCAAAGGAACCCCUCCCAGGCUGCAGCUGUGAGGACAGAGGAGGAGGGGCGUCGUCUUCUGGCCGUCAGUACAGUCUCACAGUCACCCCUGAGCCCCAAGGAAGCCGUGGAGUCCUAUGACAGAGCUGUAGCGGAGGCUCUGAAGAAGAUCGCAGAGUCCUCCUUUGACCUGUUACCUGUCAUUCGCAGUCAUGUGUAUGUGGGAAACAUCUCCAAAAAGCCUGUGAUGAGAGAUCAAGAGAAAGAAGUUGUUUAUGAAUUUAGCACAACAAAAAAGCCUUUAGCAGAGUGCUUGCUUCACUCUAUUCUCUCAGAACUGAAAAUUCAGAAGAUGUCUGUGGAGCACAAUUACAUCCACGCCCUCUGCAGAGUGUAUGUGGGUAUUUGUCGGCAACUGGGAGACUUGGAAAGAGCUCGCUUGUUUUGCUACAGUCUGCUUAAGGAAGAUUUUCCAGAGUCUGAAAAAUUGACUUUGUUCAUUGCAAACAUGUGGCAUGAUAUAUUUAUCUCUCAAUCGGUGAUUAAUAAGGCAAUGCAGUUGGUAGCCAGGCAACGCGCUAAAGGAGAAGUUUUGAACUGUUUGCGAGCUUUCCUCAAUUGGGAGAAGAAUGCUCCUGCAGAUGUUGGCUUCAUGGUUUCUAAGCUGCUUUUGACCAUACAGUUAUGUCCAAAAACAGAAUUUCAGUCCAGUGAAAGAUUUGGCGAAGACCUAAGUGAUAACACCUGGGAGUACAUAUGUGCCAUUGAUCUGCUCUGCUGCCAUCAGAAGUGGGUUUGGACACAUGACAACAUUAUAAGUAAGGAGCUGUGGCCUGUAAUGGAUAAGUGGAUAAAAUACAGAAAAGGACAUGCAAACAUUGCAUACACUCCUGAUAUUAUCAUAGCAUCAAUACUGAGGCUCAUUGAGAUGAGGCUGAUGGACUGGGUCACAUCUAAGCCUGUGGGCUGUUUGUACUAUUGAGAGAACAUGGACACAGAACAGUGAGCAUGCAGGAUAAUGUUGUCAUAAGAGCACAGGAAGAGGACUUGGGUAAGAUGGCAUCCAAGUGCAACUCAACAAGUGAUGAUUUCUUAAAGGUUAGUUGCAGUGUGAAAUCUGAAACCUCAUCAGUGAACUUCGCUUCUCUGUUGCACCAGAGUCCCUUGGUCCACCUGACUUGUUGAAGGGAUCUUUUGCCCAUUCAUGAUUUUGUAACAUGUACUGCUCACUUGGAAAAUACUGAUCUGUACAGAUCUUCCAAAUGUCAACAAUAUCAGGAAAACAGACAUUAAUAUCAUCACUGAUCUCAUCAGAGAAAUCUGAAGUAUUUGAAGCUGUCAAGCUUAGGGUAGGUGAUGGAAGUUUUUCCAAAAUUCUAAUUUUGCUUAAGAGCUCAAAUUUUAUCAUUGACAGCAAUGAUUUCCUUGCAGUGACAGGUUCACUUUUCUCAUUUUUGAGAAAAUGUCUGUCUCGGUCUAAAUAGCCAUAGUUUGUCAGUGGUUCUUUGAGUGAAAAGUGGGUGGAGAAAGCACCCAGUUCCCCUCCCAGCUGAAGCAGCUGCACAGGUGCUUUUCCUGGAGAGAGUCGGGCUGCCGAGGUGCCAGGGGUGUGCUUCACGUGCCCUUCCUGUCCCAUCCGUGGAAGAUCGCAGAGCCGUGUGCUUAGGGUCUGGAUUUCAUAAGAAUCAUUGUUACCGUUUCAUGAAGGACAUUCUGAAUGAGUUAGCUUUUCCGACUGUGAGCUCCUGGCCAUGGAGAGUGACCCCCAUGUCACUGCCCUGACUGGUGCUGAGGGUCCACUAGUUUGAUCGCCACUGCCUUUGCACUGUCAGGCCACAUCUCAGCACUGGAAGGAAAGCACAUCACUUCUUAGUGUCGUUGGGAAAGCAAAGUUUUGACCUUGAGGACCCCGGGGGUUUAGUAGAGCACACUUGGGAGCGGCUGCUCUACGUGAGGACGGAGGUUGUGUUAGCCAACUACGUUGUAACAGCAAACUGUGUCUUAUAUUUAGUCCGUUAACCCACAGAAGUUAGUCAUUUCACACUGAGCCUGCUAAAACCAUUCAUUCUGCUAAAUUCCAUUUAUUACAUGAUAACUGGGAAAGCAACACAUUGUGUAUCUGUGUAUCAUCUGUAUGUGUGAGUAACAGAAGAGAUGACGAAUCAUUCAGUCAGAACAGCCCCCCACCGCGGGACGGAUGGUGCUGUAUUGAGUCCUGACGCUUUACUGUUUAAUUUGUUUUCAUUUAAGAAUAGGUACCCGUCCAACUUCAGUUCAGGAUCCUGAAGCUUAAUGUACAUGCUAAACGAAAGAAAACGUAAGUUUUAAAUUCUUACGAAAAGUUAACAUUUAACCACAGAUUGUUGACAUUUUGUUUUGUUUUUCUUUUCCCCCCUAGGUCGUUUAGGCCAGUUGGGUUUGAAGGAAGGGUUUCCAUCAGCUGUGAAAAACAUUAGUGCAGUUAUUGGUAUGUUUAUACAGCAUGCCCAGGAUGAAGACAUACCAUGGGGUAUCCAGCUGGCAGCCGUGUACGCUCUGUGUGACUU